rnacentral:sRNA from 1 species
GAGACAGCAAUCAAAUAUAUGACUGAUGGAUGUUUACUGAAACAUAUUCUGGGAGACCCAAAUCUUACCAAAUUCAGUGUCAUUAUUUUGGAUGAAGCCCAUGAAAGAACUCUAACUACAGAUAUCUUAUUUGGUUUAUUGAAGAAGCUAUUUCAGGAGAAGUCUCCUAAUAGGAAGGAGCAUUUAAAAGUGGUGAUUGUGAAAGUCACCAUGGAUAUCCAUUUGAAUGAAAUGGCUGGAGACAUUUUGGUUUUUCUGACUGAUCAACAGAGGAGGAUAUUUUUGCCACCGCCACCUGGAAUUAGAAAAUGUGUCAUAUCCACCAAUAUUUCUGCAACGUCUUUGACAAUAGAUGGAAUCAGAUAUGUGGUAGAUGGUGGCUUUGUGAAGCAGUUAAACCACAACCCCAGAUUAGGGUUGGACAUCCUGGAGGUGGUUCCAAUUUCAAAGUUUCCCUAUUUGGAUCCACCUAAUGAGAGACUUAUUUUAGAAGCUCUUAAACAACUUUACCAGUGUGAUGCUAUUGACAGGAGUGGCCAUGUCACCAGAUUGGGUUUGUCUAUGGUGGAGUUUCCUUUGCCUCCACAUCUGACAUGCGCAGUAAUAAAAGCUGCUUCCCUGGAUUGUGAAGAUCUACUACUUCCAAUAGCAGCAAUGUUGUCUGUGGAAAACGUCUUCAUUAGACCUGUUGAUCCAGAGUACCAGAAGGAAGCAGAACAGAGACAUCGAGAAUUGGCAGCUAAAGCUGGAGGAUUUAAUGACUUUGCAACUUUAGCUGUCAUCUUUGAACAAUGCAAAUCAAGUGGAGCUCCAGCUUCAUGGUGCCAAAAACACUGGAUUCAUUGGAGGUGCUUAUUUUCUGCAUUUCGUGUGGAAGCUCAACUUCGAGAACUAAUCAGGAAGCUUAAACAG